rnacentral:rRNA from 1 species
GAUGAACGCUGGCGGCGUGCCUAAUACAUGCAAGUCGAGCGAACGGACGAGAAGCUUGCUUCUCUGAUGUUAGCGGCGGACGGGUGAGUAACACGUGGAUAACCUACCUAUAAGACUGGGAUAACUUCGGGAAACCGGAGCUAAUACCGGAUAAUAUUUUGAACCGCAUGGUUCAAAAGUGAAAGACGGUCUUGCUGUCACUUAUAGAUGGAUCCGCGCUGCAUUAGCUAGUUGGUAAGGUAACGGCUUACCAAGGCAACGAUGCAUAGCCGACCUGAGAGGGUGAUCGGCCACACGGGAACUGAGACACGGUCCAGACUCCUACGGGAGGCAGCAGUAGGGAAUCUUCCGCAAUGGGCGAAAGCCUGACGGAGCAACGCCGCGUGAGUGAUGAAGGUCUUCGGAUCGUAAAACUCUGUUAUUAGGGAAGUACAUAUGUGUAAGUACCUGUGCACAUAUUGACGGUACCUAAUGAGAAAGCCACGGCUAACUACGUG